rnacentral:rRNA from 1 species
GCUCAGUAACACGUGGAUAACAUGCCCUAAAGCGGGGGAUAAUCUCGGGAAAUUGAGGAUAAUACCCCAUAGAUCAUAGGAUCUGGAAUGACUUAUGGUCGAAAGUUCUGGCGCUUUAGGAUUGGUCUGCGGCCUAUCAGGUUGUAGUGGGUGUAACGGACCCACUAGCCGACGACGGGUAUGGGCCUUGAGAGAGGGAGCCCAGAGAUGGAUUCUGAGACACGAAUCCAGGCCCUACGGGGCGCAGCAGUCGCGAAAACUUCACACUGGAGGCAACUCCGAUGAGGGAAUUCCUAGUGCUAGCACAUUAGUGUUAGCUUUUCUUAAGCGUAGAUAACUUAAGGAAUAAGGGCUGGGUAAGACGGGUGCCAGCCGCCGCGGUAAUACCCGCAGCCCAAGUGGUGGUCGAUUUUAUUGAGUCUAAAACGUUCGUAGCCGGUUUGGUAAAUCCUUGGGUAAAUCGAGAGGCUUAACCCUUCGAAUUCCGAGGAGACUGCCAAACUUGGGACCGGGAGAGGCGAGAGGUACUUCUGGGGUAGGGGUAAAAUCCUGUAAUCCUAGAAGGACCACCGGUGGCGAAGGCGUCUCGCUAGAACGGAUCCGACGGUGAGGGACGAAGCCCUGGGUCGCAAACGGGAUUAGAUACCCCGGUAGUCCAGGGUGUAAACGCUGCAGACUUGGUGUUGGGGGCCCUACGGGGGCGUUCAGUGCCGGAGAGAAGUUGUUAAGUCUGCUACUUGGGGAGUACGUCCGCAAGGAUGAAACUUAAAGGAAUUGGCGGGGGAGCACCGCAACGGGAGGAGCGUGCGGUUUAAUUGGAUUCAACACCGGAAAACUCACCAAGGGCGACUAUCACAUGAAAGCCAGGCUAACGACCUUGCUUGAUUCUUAGAGAGGUGGUGCAUGGCCGUCGUCAGUUCGUACCGUAAGGCGUUCUCUUAAGUGAGAUAACGAACGAGACCCUCAUCUAUAAUUGCUACUUCACCCUCCGGGGUGGAGGCACAUUAUCGAGACCGCUGACACAAGUCAGAGGAAGGAGUGGACGACGGUA